GAUCCUGGCUCAGGAUGAACGCUGGCGGCGUGCUUAACACAUGCAAGUUGUGCGGUGAUCUCAAGAAGUUUCGGACGGAAAGGGAGAGCAGCAGCGGACGGGUGAGUAAAGCACAAGGACUUGUCCCGAAGAGGGGGACAACUGUGGGAAACCACAGCUAAUACCCCUAUAAGCCGAGAGGUGAAAGCAGUAAUGCGCUUUAGGAGAGACUUGUGUCCUAUCAGGUAGUUGGUGAGGUAACGGCUCACCAAGCCGAAGACGGGUAGCCGGACUGAGAGGUUGUACGGCCACAUUGGAACUGAGAGACGGUCCAGACUCCUACGGGAGGCAGCAGUGGGGAAUAUUGGGCAAUGGGGGGCCAACCCUGACCCAGCGACGCCGCGUGAGGGAAGACAGCCUUCGGGUUGUAAACCUCUGUUGCAGGGGAAGAAGAAAGUGACGGUACCCUGCGAGGAAGCUCCGGCAAACUACGUGCCAGCCGCCGC
rnacentral:rRNA from 1 species